rnacentral:rRNA from 1 species
GACGUAGGGGGCAAGCGUUGUCCGGAAUCAUUGGGCGUAAAGAGCGUGUAGGCGGCUCGAUAAGUCUGCUGUGAAAGUCCAGGGCUCAACCCUGGAAGGCCGGUGGAAACUGUCGGGCUAGAGUCCGGAAGAGGCGAGUGGAAUUCCCGGUGUAGCGGUGAAAUGCGCAGAUAUCGGGAGGAACGCCAAUGGCGAAGGCAGCUCGCUGGGACGGUACUGACGCUGAGACGCGAAAGCGUGGGGAGCAACAGG